GAUGAAGAACGCAGCGAAAUGCGAUAAGUAAUGUGAAUUGCAGAAUUCAGUGAAUCAUCGAAUCUUUGAACGCACAUUGCGCCCGCCAGUAUUCUGGCGAGCAUGCCUGUUCGAGCGUCAUUUCAACCAUCAAGCCCCAGGCUUGUGUUGGAGCCCUGCGGCUGCCGCAGCCUCCCAAAACCAGUGGCGGGCUCGCUAUCACACCGAGUGCAGUAGUUUACUCUUCGCUCAGGGCGUGUGGCGGGUGCUAGCCGUGAAACCCCCAACUUCUCAAGGUUGACCUCGGAUCAGGUAGGAAUACCCGCUGAACUUAAGCAUAUCAUAAGCGGAGGA
rnacentral:misc_RNA from 1 species